UAAGGAAUAUUGGACAAUGGCCGCAAGGCUGAUCCAGCCAUCCAGCGUGCAGGAAGAAGGCCCUAUGGGUUGUAAACUGCUUUUGUCAGGGAAUAAACCUCUUUAUUUAUAGAGAGCUGAAGGUACCUGAAGAAUAAGCACCGGCUAACUCCGUGCCAGCAGCCGCGGUAAUACGGAGGGUGCGAGCGUUAUCCGGAAUUACUGGGUUUAAAGGGUGCGUAGGCGGCUUUGUAAGUCAGGAGUGAAAGUUUGCGGCUCAACCGUAAAAUUGCUUUUGAUACUGCGAGGCUAGAAUUAGGAUGAGGUCAGCGGAAUGUGGCAUGUAGCGGUGAAAUGCAUAGAUAUGCCAUAGAACACCAAUUGCGAAGGCAGCUGACUAGACCUGGAUUGACGCUGAGGCACGAAAGCGUGGGGAGCGAACAG
rnacentral:rRNA from 1 species